rnacentral:rRNA from 1 species
AGCGAACGCUGGCGGCAGGCCUAACACAUGCAAGUCGAACGGAUCCUUCGGGAUUAGUGGCGGACGGGUGAGUAACACGUGGGAACGUGCCCUUUGGUUCGGAACAACUCAGGGAAACUUGAGCUAAUACCGGAUGUGCCCUUCGGGGGAAAGAUUUAUCGCCAUUGGAGCGGCCCGCGUCUGAUUAGCUAGUUGGUGAGGUAAAGGCUCACCAAGGCGACGAUCAGUAGCUGGUCUGAGAGGAUGAUACGCCACAUUGGGACUGAGACACGGCCCAAACUCCUACGGGAGGCAGCAGUGGGGAAUCUUGCGCAAUGGGCGAAAGCCUGGCGCAGCCAUGCCGCGUGAAUGAUGAAGGUCUUAGGAUUGUAAAAUUCUUUCACCGGGGACGAUAAUGACGGUACCCGGAGAAGAAGCCCCGGCUAACUUCGUGCCAGCCGCCGCAGUAA